CUGUGCUUUCAACCUUAAUUAAUAAUUUUCUGCAGAUAUUGUUCUUUUUUUAAAAAAAACACAACGUUAGAAAAUACAUCUCUGUCUGUUGAAAUUUGAUCUCACACCCAUCAAAUAUAUUUUCAGGUUGGUGAUGGAGCCAGUGGCUGCCUUGCGUGGCUGAAGGGAAAGAGGAGGAAAAACUGAUUGGUACAAAUAGUUUAUAAGACAAGAGGAGUCUGGGGAGAAAGCAUGUCAAAGCAACAGAACAAUAUGCGAAUUGCCUCCCCAAAUCUGUGCCAGAAUGGAAGAAAUGCCAUAUCAAGGCAUAUGGUCCUCCUUCCCUCCCCAUUUUAUUCUUGUGAAGUAGGUUAGGCAGAGAGUUGGUGACUGGUCCAAGAUCACCUAUUGAGCUUCACUAGGGGUAGGCAACCUAAGGCCCAGGGGCCGGAUGCGGCCCAAUUGCCUUUUCAAUCCAGCCCACAGACGGUCUGGGAACCAGCGUGUUUUUACAUGAGUAGAAUGUGUCCUUUUAUUUAAACUGCAUCUCUGGGUUAUUUGUGGGGCCUGCCUGGUGUUUUUACAUGAGUAGAAUGUGUGCUUUUAUUUAAAAUGCACCUCUGAGUUACUUGUGGGGCUUGGGAUUCAUUCAUUCCCCCCCCCCCAAAAAAAUAUAGUCCAGCCCCCCACAUGGUCUGGUGGACCAGCCCACGGCUGAAAAAGGUUGCUGACCCCUGAGUUCCACAGCUGAAUGAGAUUUGAACUUGGGUCUCCCCGGUCCUUGUCAUACACUCUGAUCACUACACCACCUUCAUGUUAACUUUGCAAAUGUAGAUUUAAAAGGUAGUAUAGGAAAGAGCAGUGCAGGAGCUGUAGAACCAUCAGCCGCCUCCAAGAGAACCAGUGUAGUGCAGUGUUAGACUAGGACCUGGCAGAUUCAGCCGUGAAGGUCCUUUAGAUGACAUUGGAGCAGUCUCUGCCUAGCCUGCUUCACAUGGCUGUUGUGGUUUAGCCAUGUACACCACCUUGAGCUCCUUGGAAGAACAGUGAGAGAUAAAUGCAAGAGUAAAUAAGUAAAUGUUCUGCACCAAGUUCCCCGGAGUUUCCCAGCACUAGUUCAGCGCACUGGUUAAGCCUGCUACCAAGCCUUAAUGCAGAACUUCCCAAACUGUAUGUCGUGACACAUUAGUGUGUCGGCUGCAGUGUGUAGGUGUGUCCUAUGAAUGCUCUCCAAGCUGCUCCCAGGGCUGGAAAGGGGUUAGUUUAACCUCCGGUUUGCUAGUAAAACUGAAUUACUGUGUCAUGAUGCAUGUCUAAAAAGUGUGUCACCAACAUGAAAAGUUUGGAAAUUUCCCUUGAUGUAUUAAAAUGCAAUGCUGACCCCAACCUACAGAUUAAGUCCCAGAGAACGUAGUGUUGCCUCUAUUGAUGGCAACGAAAAGCCUUUCAGCUGAGAGGUUGGUCAUCACAAACUGGGAUGUAGAAGAAAUGGAUGCCAGGGUACUACAGAGGAUUGUUUGUUCAACAGACUGAAAUUGAGGUACGCAGCAGCUUGGGCAACUGUGUGGAUUGGUGUCAGAACCCACACAAUCAUGACCAUGACAGUGACUACUAGAUAUAUAUGUGAAUUGAAGGUGUCAAG
rnacentral:lncRNA from 1 species